GCUGGCGGUCAUGCCUAACACAUGCAAGUCGUACGAGAGUUUAGAACUCAAGUGGCGGACGGGUGAGUAACACGUGAGAAUUUACCUUUAGGAGGGGGAUAACAAUUGGAAACGAUUGCUAAUACCCCAUAUGCUUUCGAGUGAAAUAGAGUUAUCUGCCUAAAGAGAAGCUCGCGGCUGAUUAGCUUGUUGGUAAGGUAAUGGCUUACCAAGGCGACGAUCAGUAUCUGGUUUGAGAGGACGAUCAGACACAUUGGAACUGAGACACGGUCCAGACUCCUACGGGAGGCAGCAGUGGGGGAUUUUCCGCAAUGGGCGAAAGCCUGACGGAGCAAUACCGCGUGAGGGAAGACGGCCCAUGGGUUGUAGACCUCUUUUUUCAGUGAGGAAACAAAUGACGUGUAGCUGAAGAAUAAGCAUCGGCUAACUCCGUGCCAGCAGCCGCGGUAAGACGGAGGAUGCAAGUGUUAUCCGGAAUCACUGGGCGUAAAGCGUCUGUAGGUGGUUUAAUAAGUCAACUGUUAAAUCUUGAGGCUUAACUUCAAAAUCGCAGUCGAAACUAUUA
rnacentral:rRNA from 1 species